rnacentral:rRNA from 1 species
GACGAAGCGUGCAAACGUUGUUCGGAUUCACUGGGCUUAAAGGGCACGUAGGCGGGGAAUCGGGUUGAAAGUGAAAGUCGCCAAAAAGUGGCGGAAUGCUCUCGAAACCAAUUCACUUGAGUGAGACAGAGGAGAGUGGAAUUUCGUGUGUAGGGGUGAAAUCCGUAAAUAUACGAAGGAACGCCAAAAGCGAAGGCAGCUCUCUGGGUCCCUACCGACGCUGGGGUGCGAAAGCAUGGGGAGCGAACAGG